UUGCUAUGAUGCCAAUCUUAGGACACCUUUGGAAUCACCAUGAAAUAAACGCACAUUCUGAGCAAC
ensembl:snoRNA SNORD58 Small nucleolar RNA SNORD58